rnacentral:siRNA from 1 species
GUCAGAAAGAGGGUUGAUUUCCA